UCCCUGGGCCUCAGCUAAAUGAGAGGACUGGUUAGAGUCAUUACCCACCCCUGUCUCCCUGGGCCUCAGCUAAAUGAGAGGACUGGUUAGAGUCAUUACCCACCCCUGUCUCCCUGGGCCCCAGCUAAAUGAGAGGACUGGUUAGAGUCAUUACCCACCCCUGUCUCCCUGGGCCCCAGCUAAAUGAGAGGACUGGUUAGAGUCAUUACCCACCCCUGUCUCCCUGGGCCUCAGCUAAAUGAGAGGACUGGUUAGAGUCAUUACCCACCCCUGUCCCCCUGGGCCUAGGGUAAAUGAGAGGGCUGGUUAGUGUCAUUACCCACCCCUGUCUCCCUGGGCCUAGGGUAAAUGAGAGGGCUGGUUAGUGUCAUU
ensembl:lncRNA